AGUUAUAGGGAGUGGGUAUAGGAGCAGUUAGAGGAGGAGUUAAGGGAGUGGGUAUAGGAGCAGUUAGAGGAGGAGUUAUAGGGAGUGGGAUAGGAGCAGUUAGAGGAGGAGUUAUAGGGAGUGGGUAUAGGAGCAGUUAUAGGAGGAGUUAUAAGGAGUGGGUAUAGGAGCAGUUAGAGGAGGAGUUAUAAGGAUUGGGUAUAGGAGCAGUUAGAGGAGGAGUUAUAGGGAGUGGGUAUAGGAGCAGUUAGAGGAGGAGUUAUAGGGAGUGGGUAUAGGAGCAGUUAGAGGAGGAGUUAUAGGGAGUGGGUAUAGGAGCAGUUAGAGGAGGAGUUAUAGGG